rnacentral:rRNA from 1 species
GGAGGGCGCAAGCGUUGUUCGGAAUCAUUGGGCGUAAAGCGCGUGUAGGCGGCUUGGCAAGUCGGACGUGAAAGCCCGGGGCUCAACCCCGGAAUUGCGUUCGAAACUGCCUGGCUAGAGUCCCGGAGAGGAGGGCGGAAUUCCCGGUGUAGAGGUGAAAUUCGUAGAUAUCGGGAGGAACACCAGCGGCGAAGGCGGCCCUCUGGACGGUGACUGACGCUGAGACGCGAAAGCGUGGGGAGCAAACAGGAUUAGAUACCCUGGUAGUCCACGCCGUAAACGUUGGGUGCUAGGUGUCGCGGGUAUUGACCCCCCUGCGGUGCCGUCGUUAACGCAGUUAGCACCCCGCCUGGGGAGUACGGUCGCAAGGCUA